rnacentral:rRNA from 1 species
UACGGAGGGUGCAAGCGUUAUCCGGAUUCACUGGGUUUAAAGGGUGCGUAGGUGGGCAGGUAAGUCCGUGGUGAAAUCUCUGAGCUUAACUCAGAAACUGCCGUGGAUACUAUCUGUCUUGAAUAUUGUGGAGGUGAGCGGAAUAUGUCAUGUAGCGGUGAAAUGCUUAGAUAUGACAUAGAACACCAAUUGCGAAGGCAGCUCACUACACAGUAAUUGACGCUGAGGCACGAAAGCGUGGGGAUCAAACAGG